rnacentral:rRNA from 1 species
CCAGAGAACUUAGCAGAGAUGCUUUGGUGCCUUCGGGAACUCUGAGACAGGUGCUGCAUGGCUGUCGUCAGCUCGUGUUGUGAAAUGUUGGGUUAAGUCCCGCAACGAGCGCAACCCUUAUCCUUUGUUGCCAGCGGCUCGGCCGGGAACUCAAAGGAGACUGCCGGUGAUAAACCGGAGGAAGGUGGGGAUGACGUCAAGUCAUCAUGGCCCUUACGGCCAGGGCUACACACGUGCUACAAUGGCGCAUACAAAGAGAAGCGACCUCGCGAGAGCAAGCGGACCUCAUAAAGUGCGUCGUAGUCCGGAUUGGAGUCUGCAACUCGACUCCAUGAAGUCGGAAUCGCUAGUAAUCGUAGAUCAGAAUGCUACGGUGAAUACGUUCCCGGGCCUUGUACACACCGCCCGUCACACCAUGGGAGUGGGUUGCAAAAGAAGUAGGUAGCUUAACCUUCGGGAGGGCGCUUACCACUUUGUGAUUCAUGGCUGGGGUGAAGUCGUAACAAGGUAAGCGUAGCGAG